CCUACGGGGAGCUGCAGUGGGGAAUAUUGGACAAUGGGCGAAAGCCUGAUCCAGCCAUGCCGCGUGUGUGAAGAAGGCCUUCGGGUUGUAAAGCACUUUCAGUGGGGAAGAAAGCCUUGGGGCUAAUACCCUCGAGGAAGGACAUCACCCACAGAAGAAGCACCGGCUAACUCCGUGCCAGCAGCCGCGGUAAUACGGAGGGUGCGAGCGUUAAUCGGAAUUACUGGGCGUAAAGCGCGCGUAGGCGGUCUGAUAAGCCGGUUGUGAAAGCCCCGGGCUCAACCUGGGAACGGCAUCCGGAACUGUCAGGCUAGAGUGCAGGAGAGGAAGGUAGAAUUCCCGGUGUAGCGGUGAAAUGCGUAGAGAUCGGGAGGAAUACCAGUGGCGAAGGCGGCCUUCUGGACUGACACUGACGCUGAGGUGCGAAAGCGUGGGUAGCAAACAGGACUAGAUACCCCGGUAGUC
rnacentral:rRNA from 1 species